CGUAGGUGGCAAGCGUUGUCCGGAAUUAUUGGGCGUAAAGCGCGCGCAGGCGGUCUUUUAAGUCUGAUGUGAAAGCCCACGGCUCAACCGUGGAGGGUCAUUGGAAACUGGAAGACUUGAGUGCAGAAGAGAAGAGCGGAAUUCCACGUGUAGCGGUGAAAUGCGUAGAGAUGUGGAGGAACACCAGUGGCGAAGGCGGCUCUUUGGUCUGUAACUGACGCUGAGGCGCGAAAGCGUGGGAGCAAACAGGAUU
rnacentral:rRNA from 1 species